rfam:Triticum aestivum genome assembly, contig: Triticum_aestivum_CS42_TGACv1_scaffold_147339_2BS
CUGCACGAGUUGCAUUUUGCUGUACAUAUGGACAAAGAGUAAUAUUGAUGUAAAUUAAGUGAGUAUUAUUUUAGUUGCAAGUGCUCAUAAAGGACCAUCACACAUAU